ensembl:lncRNA
AGCACAAGUACAGCUAAGAGGCCAAGGGCAGGCUUUUGAGCCAAAGCCAAGCAUCUAAAGCCUGGCCAGCAGCUUAAGAGUGGGCUGGAGCCACAAUGACGCAUAAUAAGCAUACUCCCUAGUGCAUUUUGCUGUCAGAUGCUCUCCUGCUUGUGCGCGCGUGCGCAUACAUGCGCACAUGCACGCUAGCUCGCUCUCUCUCAUUUACCUUAAAGAGAGAUGGAAAAGAAGAGAACCUGCAGGAAGCAGAAAUAAGGCAGUAAACAGAAGCCCGAGACUCCGAGGCAAUAGAGACUGUUUUCAGCGGCAGCAAAGAGUCUGCAGGUUGGAGACCAUCUGGAGGACAUGCCUAUCAGAACUAAGACGGGAAAGAUGAGUAGAAAUUGAUCAGGCCAGUGAAGAGGGUGGACACCUGCCUCCCAGCCAAGCAUUCUACCCCGUGUGUGAGCGAGGGAAUGAAAGCAGGUGAGGCCAGAGACGUUUUCAGUUAACUAUGGACGAUUGCUAGAAUCAACAAUUUUGACCUACAAAAAUGGCCAUUUCAUAUGAUUCUCCCUAUCAACAGGGUUCAGUUACAGACAACUUUGUGUUAAUUCCAGGUUGGAGAAUUUUGCACUUUAUCUUUCUUGGGAUGGAAAAGUAAUGAAGAAUUGUGACGAGGUGAGUUUCUCCCUCAAAUUUUUUUUUUUUUAUUUUACUUUUCAGGGCCGAACCUGUGGCACGGCCUAUGCCACAACCACAGCAAUGUGGGAUCGGAGCCACAUCUGCAACCUACACCACAGCUCAUGGCAAUGCUGGAUCCUUAACCCACUGAGCAAGACCAGGGAUUGAACCCACAUCCUCAUGGAUACUAAUCGGAGUCGUUACCCCUGAGCCAUGACGGAACUCCAAGAUCCAGUGUUUACUUUACAUGCUUUUUGAGAGAUGCCUUUAAAAAAAAAUCUUAACAUUAUAAAUCAACCACACUUUAAUUAAAAGAAUAAAAAUAAUCUUACUUGGACGUCUAAAAUAUGAAAAAGAGUUGCUCUGGCUAAAAUGGGAGUAAGAGCGCCGCUCUUACUCAGCCUCCCUGCACCCAUGGCAUGUGGAAGUUCCUCCCCCAGGGAUCAAACCUGUGCCUCAGCAGCGACAAUGCUGGAUCCUUAACCUGCUGAGCCACAGUGGGAACUCCAGUAUUGCCUUUAUUACACAGGGAGAAGACAACAUAUCUAUGAGCCAAGGAGAGAGGCUUUGGACAGAUUCUUUCCUCACAGCCCUUAGAAAGGACCAAUCUGCUGCCCUUAAUCUCAGAUUUCUAGCCUCCAGAAAUGUGAGGAAAUACAUGUCUGUUGUUUAAGCCACUCAGUCGUGGUACUUUAUUACAGCAGCCUGAGGAGACUAAUACACCCUCCUUCCCUCUUCGUUCAACAGAGCAGCGGAGUGACCCUGUUAAAACAAAGUCUGUCAGGGAGCAGGAAUUUUCCACUCUACCCUCUUGAGUUUGUGUGGCUGGGCUAGUAACAAAAUUGCCGCAAGAAAGAUGAACAGACAAAAAAAAGUCUUGUCUCUAUGGGGAGUCUCAUAGAGACAAGACCCAAGAAAUGGCCAAAGUGGGCAGCUUUUUCCUUUGUAGACAAAUAAUAUGUAUGUGACUAACUGCCAGGACCAAGAAACUUAGGUUUGGGUUAUGCAAUUAGUAAAUAAUCGAAGCAGAGUUUGGGCUGCAGGUAGUAAAUUCAAGAAGUAACAAGGCUUGUUUAUACGGGGUUCUUGCCCCAAGUUCCCUUUCUCUGGUGAUAAGGGUGUCCUUCUACCUCCGAAGGGCAGGCACCUCUCUCUUGAGAGAUGUAUUUCCUGCUUUCAGGGAGACAGAAGAGAGUCAGAGUGUCCUUCUUGCGUUGGUCUUUUUUUUUUUUAAUGUUUUUUUGUUCACAUAUUUGCUUUUUAUUUUUUUAAUUACUCAAAUGAAUUUAUCACAUCUGUAGUUGCAUAAUGAUCAUAACAAUCCAAUUUCACAGGAUUUCCACCCCAUAACCCAAGCACAUCCCCCCACUCCCCAAACUCUCUCCUCCGGAGACCAUAAGUUUUUCAAUGUCUGUGAAUCAGCAUCUGUUCUGCAAAGAAGUUCAACUCUCCUUUUUUCAAAUUCCACAUGUCAGUGAAAGCAUUUGAUGUUGGUGUCUCACUGUAUGGCUGACUUCACUUAGCAUGAUAACUUCUAGGUCCAUCCAUGUUGCUAAAAAUGCCGGUAUUUCGUUCAUUUUAAUGGCUGAGUAAUAUUCCAUUGUGUAUAUGCACCACAUCUUCUUGAUCCACACCUCUGUUGAUGGACAUUUAGGUUGUUUCCAUGUCUUGGCUAUUGCAAAUAGUGCUGCAGUGAACAUCAGAGUACUUGUGUCUUUUGGAGUCAUGAUUUUCUUGGAGUGGGAUUGCUGGAUCAAAUGGUAGUUCUAUGUUUAGUCUUCUGCGGAAUCUCCAUACUGUUUUCCCCAGCGGUUGCACCAAUUUAUAAUCCCACCAUUGCCUUGGUCAUUUCUUAAGUAACUUUAAUUCAAAAUAAUCAAUACGGCAUUGUGGUGAAUGUUGGGGCGGCCUAACCUAAGCCCCAAGAAGUCAAAUCACACCUCUUCUCUGUGAAAACUCCCCAAAGUCCUUUCACAGACUUGCAGUGAUCCCCACUCCCUCCUGUCUUCCCAGCAUCCUCUCCUGCAACCGUCCCCUCACUCCUGCUCUAGCCCCACGCCCCAGCCCCGUACUGCUGAGCCUUUUGUCCUGAGCACUCUGCCCAGAAUCUUCACCUGGCUCAGGUACAGCCUUUCCAGAGAGUCCCUCCCUGGCCAUUUGAUUUGAGAUCCCCCACAUCCCGCUUUCUAUCCCACUUGACUGCAUUCUUAUUCUCUGCAGCCCACAUUACUGUCCAAGGUAGGGCAUUUUUAUUUUUCUUUUAAUAUUGUCUGCCACCCUCCUAGAACAGGUUUGACUGGUUUUUUUUUUGUUGUUUUUUGUUUUUUUGUCUUUUUGCCUUUUCUAGGGCCGCACCUGUGGCACAUGGAGGUUCCCAGGCUAGGCGUCGAAUCGGAGCUGUUGCUGCCAAGGCCACGCCAGAGCCACAGCAAUGCCAGAUCCGAGCCGCGUCUGCAACCUAAACUACAGCUCAGGGCAACGCCAGAUCCUUAACCGACUGAGCAAGGCCAGGGAUCGAACCCGAAACCUCACGGUUCUUAGAUUCGUAACCACUGAGCCACGACAGGAACUCCCCAGGUUUGACUGUUCUAUUCGUUGCUUUAUCUACUGUACCUGACACAUAAUUGGUGCUCAAUAAAUAGUUCUUGAAUGAAUAAAUGAAUUCAUGAAUGAAGAAAUGCUUUACGCAAAUUAGGACGCAUCCUUCUUUGUUUUUUAUUUUUUAUUUAUUUAUGUAUUUUAUUUUUUUGCUUUUUAGUACUGCACUUUUGGCAUAUGGAAGUCCCAGGCUAGGGGUCUAAUCGGAGCUGUAGCCACCAGCCAACACCACAGCCACAGGCUCGCCAAAUCCAAGCUGUGUCUGAGAGCAGCUUACACCAGCCUACACCACAGCUCAGGGCAAUGCCAGAUCCUUAACCCACUGAGCAAGGCCAGGGAUCAAACCCUCAACCUCAUGUUUCCUAGUCAGAUUCGUUUCUGCUGCGCCACAAGGGGAACUCCCAGCAUCCUUCUUUGAGAAACCUUUGGUGAUAUUAUUAACUUUAUCCUUCCCUUUCCACAGUUUACAGCACAUUGAAAGGCAAAAUUUUUUUGUCUUUUUAGGGCCACACCUGCAGCAUAUGGAAGUUCCCAGGAGUCAAAUCGGAGCUGCAGCUGCCAGCUUAUACCACAGCGUAUGGCAACUGUGGAUCCUUAACCCAUUGAGGGAAGCCAGGAAUCCAACUCACAUCCUCAUGGAUACUAGUCAGGUUUGUUCCCACUGGCUGCAGUGGGAACUCCUUAAGGCAAAACUUUGAUUGUUUUACUGGUGCUGUUACGUUAUGAUGGUGAUAGGGAUGGAGUAGGCACAGGUGGUGGUAGAAGUCCCAAGAGGGGAUCACAGAUAAAGAGGGAAACCUGGGAGAUGUUGGGAGACCACCGUAAGUUCUAGAAAGACAUCAGAACAAGGCAGGCUUGCUUGACUAGUGGAGGGGCGAAAAUUGCCUCAAGUCACUGGGUGGGGGAUGGGAUGAGGCCUGCAUUCAGAUUCAGACCAAGGGCAAGAGUUUGAAGAAGGCAUCUUACCAGGAUAUUAAGGAGGAGCCACGACUCCCAGAAAGGAAGAGGCGGGCGUUUCCGACCCCCACACCCUUUCAAUGAUACAACUGUGGCCCACGGGAUCUUCAGAGCAGAGCUUCUUUGUCUGCCCGCUGUAUUUCUCACAAGUGUCCUAAAAAAUCUAUUUCUUGCCCAACACUUUGUCUCUCACUGAAUUCCUUCUGCACAGAGGCAUAAAGGGUGACACAGGGUGAGUAAUUCUAAUUUAAAACAGUGGGCUCAAGUCCCAGUCUGGGUUUUGGCUGGGUUCGAGUCCCAGCACAUGGGUUCAAGUCCCAAUCUGUGUUCUGGCCCGGUUCAGGCCACGAGUGCUGUCGGUUUCAAUACCGUAUUUCACCACAGCCUAAUACCAUUUAAUGCUC